rnacentral:rRNA from 1 species
UGGGGAAUAUUGGACAAUGGGCGCAAGCCUGAUCCAGCCAUGCCGCGUGAGUGAUGAAGGCCUUAGGGUUGUAAAGCUCUUUCGCCGACGAAGAUAAUGACGGUAGUCGGAGAAGAAGCCCCGGCUAACUUCGUGCCAGCAGCCGCGGUAAUACGAAGGGGGCUAGCGUUGUUCGGAAUCACUGGGCGUAAAGCGCACGUAGGCGGAUUGUUAAGUCAGGGGUGAAAGCCUGGAGCUCAACUCCAGAACUGCCCUUGAUACUGGCAAUCUCGAGUCCGGAAGAGGUAAGUGGAACUGCGAGUGUAGAGGUGAAAUUCGUAGAUAUUCGCAAGAACACCAGUGGCGAAGGCGGCUUACUGGUCCGGUACUGACGCUGAGGUGCGAAAAGCGUGGGGAGCAAAACAGGAUUAGAUACCCUGGUAGUCCACGCCGUAAACGAUGGAGGCUAGCCGUUGGCGAGCAUGCUCGUCAGUGGCGCAGCUAACGCAUUAAGCCUCCCGCCUGGGGAGUACGGUCGCAAGAUU